CACUGAUUGAGCACCUGGUGAAGGGACACAGCCCCGGAGCACAGGUGAAAGCAACUCAGGAAGGAGUGGAACCUGGUUGCACCACACCUCCCUCAGCCUCAUUUAAGGGCUGGCUGCUGUGGGUGGAGGUUCUUUGUUUGGGGAUCCCUCCUUUUGGAGUGUUUUGCAGGCCCUGAUCUUUGGGACAGAAGUGGCAUCUCACCAUGCCUGGGAACUCGAGGCAAAAUCCUUCCUGCUCCAUCAGGGAGAGAAAGUGGGGCAAAGCAGCAGUGUGACAACCACAUCCGAGAGGUGAAGCUUUCCUUUAUCCACCAGCAUGCUGGCUUUGGCCAUGUAAAUUAGUCAGCAUUAAUCCCGCGUGCUCCUAAGUCUCCUGGUAGCUGUUCAGAGCUCACUAAUACUGCUGCUUAAUCACGGCUCAGGCUCUGCUUUACAUGUCAGCCCAACAACGCUCCCAGGUCCGCCUGAUUGGGAUUUAAGUUCCGAUUUCUCUUAGAGCAUAAUCAGGCCUGAAUGGGAGAUUAAAAUAAUGAAAGUGAACUUUAAGUGACAUUCAAACACCGUCACCUGCUGCCGGCUCCGCUUCCCCCUCUGCAUUCUGGGAGCUGCAAUUUUCGGCGUCAUUCACUGCGGGGUGAUUACAGCUGCAUCUAUUCAGCGUGCUGCAGCAACCUGAAAGGAGCGUGUUCAGCUGUCAGGACCUGCACUGUGCGUGGCUUCCAGGAAAGCUCAAUAUUUAGAGUGUGUGAUGGGGUCUGAAUGCUCACAGAAAGCCAGAACGGAUUCUGAAUUAGUUUUCUCGACGUGGCAUUUACAAAUUGUAAUGAAUACGUAUUAUGGUUGUGGCGUAUAAUAGUAAGGGCUUUAUUGAUUUACAGAUCAUUAUUUUACUAUACAUCCAGAUAACAGCAACCUGCAGAAUUACUCAUGUGGUCGGGGUCAGCUGCUGAUCCAAAGCCUCUUGUUAUCUAUUCUAUUCAGAUCCGGAGCUGGAUAAAUCACAGUCCAGCACAAACAAGCUUGAGACAAGGGGAGAACGUGAAGCAGGAGGGGUUGGGGCUGCUCUUGCUUGGGGGUCCCAUUUAUAUGGACCCCACAAAGCUGCCCAGUGGAAGGUGAUGCUACAGGAGCUGCUUGAGGUGGUAUAUUCGCACACUCAGUUAUGAGUUUCCCCAUUCUUCUUUCUUUCCUAUCUCUUGUUAUCAUAAAGGCAGAAGAAUCAGGAGGGAGGGAAAGAUUCCCCAUUGGUAUUUUGAAAUGGAAAUGCACUGCAGAAGUGGAGGAAUGAGGAAAAAGGCUAUGUUUAAGGAACAGGCUGAGAAAAAAGCUUUCUGAUGGGGGAAGGAACAGAAAUCUUCAUGGGGAGCAAAGUCUGCUGCAAUGGAGGAGAGCAAGUGACCCAGUGACCUAAUGGCAUGUGUCCUGCUGCCUGGGCAUCCAUGUAUAUGGCAAAUGCACAGUGACUGCUAACUAUAGGAGUGCUGGCAGCAGGAUGCUGCUCUCUCUUAGCCACCAUUGCUGUGAAAUCAGCUUUCAGCCUGAUGUCCCCAGCCCUAUAUUUGCUCAGGGAAUGGAAUCCAAAUCCUCCUGCCCUGCAGUGAUGUACAGAUCGAGCAUUGUUCUGCUGCCUCCUCCGGAUCCCCCCUCUCCCCGAUGUCAGUGCAUGCAUCUGGUUGAUAAGGAGGGGAUGGAGGAAAGCCAAUUCCCGAGCUUGGUGUGCACAAGGAGCCCAGCACCAGUGGCACAAUGCUACCAAAAGCAGUGACAAAAUUCAGCUGAGGGACAUAGGAUGCACUGAUGCUGAGUUAGGGGAGGGAGCGUGAGGUGACAUUGCCUCUUCCAUCCCAGCACUGUGCUGUGGUCUAUGGUGGGGCCAUAUCUGCUAACUGCACAUCCAUGGGAGAGCUCUGGUGCUGUGAUGAUGUUGCAAAGUGUUCGUGCGGUGGGAGAGGAAGGAGCAGGGCAAGGAUGCAGGAAGAGACUGCUGAUGUAGUGCCUUCACCUGUACCUCCCAGGUGGUUUCACCAGGACCCUGUAACAGUGCGGCUGAUCUAACAGCAUCAUAGGAUGCUUAUGGGAGUGAUGACUUGGUAUGAGGUCGUGCCAUGUUUUCCUGCUUGGUAUCUCUGCUCCCUUCCCAUCCAUCCACAGUGACUUCUGCUGCCUUUAUCUCCCUCUCAGCAGCAGGGAUGGGAGCUGAAGAAGGCUGCCAGGCAGAAGCCUGGCUGAGCUCCCUGGGAAUCUCCCAUCAAUCUGCUGUUUGGAGGCGAUAAAGCCUUUGCCUCGGAUGUUUGCAGCGCGUUUGUGUUGUGCUCUGGGAGCUGUAAGGAUCUGGAAGUGCUGCCAAGUGCACUGCAGCUCCCCUGUGGCAGUGGCUUUGUCCCUGCUGGGGCUGCAGCUGGUGGGACACAUGCCCUGCAUUGCACCUCACCUCCCCUGUGUUAGGAUUCCUGCCUGCGCCUUUGAUUUUGCUGCCAUGCUGGGGACAACACGCUGUUCUGUUCAUUUGUUUUCUGAUAAUCUCCCCUGGUCUCCAAGGCUUCCUUCCCCUCGCUGCAACUGCUGGCUGCUAAUUUCCAUCCAAAUCAAGUGUGGCUCGUGGCUGCUCGGCAUUCAGGCACAGCUUUUAAGGGCUUAGCACAGAUUGCCUUCCAAUGAGCUGGGGCACAAUGGUAGAGGAGGGGAUGCUGCUCACAGGGAGGCAGCUCCAGAACCUCCUGUGUGCCAAAGUGCCACGUCCUGGCUGCCAGGAAGGAGAUGUGGAGGUGUUUGCUUAAGAAUCAGUGGAAUGGACUGUAAUUCUUCACAGAACUCUCAUACAUGAGAUGCUUAGGAUCUCAGCAUCCCAUACGUAUGCUUGGGGGAUGAGGGACGUUAAGCAGCUGUUUGUAGACCUAACCGUGUAUCUUGUUUUCAUGCAUCCGUUGCAUUUCCCAGUCUUGGCUCCCUUCCCUAUGGAUCUUUCACCAUCAUUAUGCUGAUCUGAUGCCAUGUUUGCCCUGGGAGCUGUAACUGUGUCCAGAGUGGCUUGCAGUGCCUUUGGGAAACUGCAAGGUGCUGAUGCUCAUGUGGUGCUGCCCAAAGCAGCAGGAAUGCAAAGUAGGAUCAUGAUGUGGUGAGGAGGAAGAGGAAAGAAGCAGUCUAGGAUGUACCUGGAAGAGCAGACCCAAAAGCACAGGUUUUUUAGCAGCUAAAGUAGGGUGCAGGGCAGUAAGAGGCUGUCACAUGCACUUGGAUAGGAUGGUGCAGCCAUGCAGGUGUAUUUAUGGCUGGGGAUGCAGGGCAAAGGCUGGGGCACCACAGGUCUUGAGGAAGCAAUGGAAAGACGAGAGCUGACAAAGCAAUCUAUGAGCAUCAGAAAUCAAGGCAGCACAAUUGCUGUGGCCUCCUCUCUGCAACUGGGGCAGCUUUGCAGCUCUUUGCUUCUAAUUACCCAUAGAUAAUAAGCGAAUACAAUAGUGGAGGAUAUUAGAAUAAUUUACUGUUCAUCAAAGAAAAAAAAGAUUGGGAUCAUUUGCCUUCAGUAUAUCUGUUUCUGUAACGAGGAUCCUACCCAAGAGAGCAUCCAAUCAGCCCCUCGUGACAACUCUCGCCAAAAAAUCCGUUACAGCUAUUAGCAACAAACUUAUUAGCUGGUAAUUAACUCUGUAAUUAACUGGAAGAGACUUCAGCAAUCAACACUGAGAUCUGGUGUGAACAAGUCGUUGCAUCGAGCGCCAUUGUGCCCGGGCAGGUCGGUGCAUGGUGACAACAGAAGGCGAUUGCUGGGCUGUGUCCACGUGCAGCCCAUGGGAUCUUGGCAGCAUCCCAUGCUUUCCAGCUCUUUAGAUGCCAAAGUGCAACCCAAUAUCUCCUGACGAGUUGCUGAACAAAAAGAAAAACCCAAGCCCAUUGCAAUGGAGUUCUUUGCAUGAAGCACUGAAUUCAUCUCUUCCUCUUUGUAUCUCACAAAGAUAUUGUUGCCUUCUGAUCUUCGG
rnacentral:lncRNA from 1 species